UCCGGUUGUUGGAGGGGAACGUGGCUUUUCCCCGCAGUGUCCGGCUCCCCUUCCGCCUCGCCGCCGCCGCCGCCGCCAGCGCCGACCCCGCCGCCAUGGACGCGACCCUCAGCGACCCCAAAAACAGCAGCAGCGCCGAAGCGGGCGUCCCCGCCAACGGCACCGCCCGGGCCCCGUCCACGCCCGAGGGCAUCGCGCUGGCCUACGGCAGCCUGCUCCUCAUGGCGCUGCUGCCCAUCUUCUUCGGGGCCCUGCGCUCGGUGCGCUGCGCCCGCGGCAAGGGUCCCCCGAGCCUGCCAGGAGGGAUCCCUGAGUACCACCAGAAUCCUUCAGAUAUGCCUGAAACCAUCACCAGCCGGGACGCCGCCCGCUUCCCCAUCAUCGCCAGCUGCACACUCUUGGGCCUCUACCUCUUUUUCAAAAUAUUCUCCCAGGAGUACAUCAACCUUUUGCUGUCCAUGUAUUUCUUCGUGCUGGGAAUCCUGGCCCUGUCCCACACCAUCAGCCCCUUCAUGAAUAAGUUUUUUCCAGCCAGCUUCCCAAACCGGCAGUAUCAGCUGCUCUUCACACAAGGCUCUGGGGAGAACAAAGAAGAGAUCAUCAAUUACGAGUUCGACACCAAGGACCUGGUGUGCCUGGGCCUGAGCAGCAUCGUGGGCAUCUGGUACCUGCUGAGAAAGCAUUGGAUUGCCAACAACCUCUUUGGACUGGCCUUCUCCCUCAAUGGGGUGGAACUCCUGCAUCUCAACAACGUCAGCACCGGCUGCAUCCUCCUCGGCGGCCUCUUCAUCUACGAUGUGUUCUGGGUGUUUGGGACCAACGUGAUGGUGACAGUCGCCAAGUCCUUUGAGGCACCUAUAAAAUUGGUGUUUCCCCAGGACCUUUUGGAGAAGGGCCUGGAUGCUGAUAACUUUGCUAUGCUGGGACUCGGAGACAUCGUCAUUCCAGGAAUCUUUAUCGCCUUGUUGCUGCGUUUUGACAUCAGCUUAAAGAAGAACACCCACACCUACUUCUACACCAGCUUUGCUGCCUACAUCUUUGGCCUGGGCCUUACCAUCUUCAUCAUGCACAUCUUCAAGCAUGCCCAGCCAGCUCUGCUCUACCUGGUCCCGGCCUGCAUCGGCUUUCCCGUCCUGGUGGCACUGGCCAAGGGGGAAGUGACGGAGAUGUUCAGCUACGAGUCCUCGGCGGAAAUCCUGCCUCAUACCCCGAGGCUCACCCACUUCCCCACAGUCUCGGGCUCCCCAGCCAGCCUGGCCGACUCCAUGCAGCAGAAGCUGGCCGGCCCAUACCGCCGGCGCCCGCACAGCCCCAGCGCCAUGUAGUGCCCAGCGGGUGUCCGACUGCCCACUUCCCCCCACUGCCCAGAAGCCCAAGCUAUGAGGAGUCAAAUCCUAAGGAUUCAGCAGCAAUGACAGAAUCCAAAGAGGGCAUCGAGACAUCAUCAUCACAGAGGCUGGAGAAGAAGGAGAAGUGACAUGGUGGCAUGGGACCCUCUGCAGCCCGGGCAGCCUGGCUGGACUGCAGCGCUUGAGCAGAGCCUGCAGGUGCAGGAGCCGAUGCAUGGGGCAAGCCUGCCCUUCUCUGGCCUGCCCUUGCCUCUCCACGCACCCUGCAAGCAAAGGAAGCCUCCUUCGGUCCCCACACCCCAGGUGCCAGGUGGGGAAAGUGGGUGUGCUUUUUAAGGGUUUUGUAUUGCAGACUGAACUUUGCCUCCCAUUAAAAACUCAUUCCCUUCCCUCCUCCCCACGGGCCACUGUGCUCCUGGAGGGCUUUACUGCACCCA